UAAUGACUCCAUUUCCUGGUGGCAGUAAAAUGCAGUGGUUCAAUAACCUGGCAGGUUUUUUUUUGUUUCCUUAUCUUUUGCAAGAAGGAUGAUUAAAUCAUCGGCCUUCCUGCAAACAUAAACCGAGGAAGAGGUGUGGAGGGAGGUGAUGAGAAAGGUGAUCCUAGUCGUCAGAGGCUCGUUCCUCAGAGUCCUGCUCUGUGAAGCUUUUUGUCUUUGUUUUUUUUUUUUUUUUCUUUUUCCUCAGUUUAUGCAGAGAUGUAAAAUUCCUGCCGUAUGUAGACCUAACAGAAACAUUGAAAAGGCAUCAAUGUAUGGUGUAAAGUUAAUUCAUGUUAAAAAACUGGGAAAAGUUAAGAUUGUAAUAACAAAUAGGCCAAAUUUCACAUCAGCAGCUUUCUUUGAUGCAUAAGAGCCAUAUUUGGUCCCAUGGCAGAUGCAAGGCUCUCUGCAGUUGACCAAAUUAAAUCCUGAGACAUUAAAAGAAAUUUCAGUAUAACUCGGAAGGCUAAAAAAUGUUGUAUUGAAUGUUUAAAUAUUAUUUUAAGUGGAUCCAAGCUUGUGGUUAUAAAUUGAAUUGUGCCUGUGCACAUUUUCAAAAUAUAUGUCAGCAUUUGUUGUGCUUAUCAGUUUACAAAAGCAAAUAUGUGUAGAAACUUGAACACAUUCUUCUGCUUUCCUUGAUUGUUAAUUUUCAUUUACUUAAUGAGGUGCUGAAAGGAAAUGGUAAGUUGAUCUCUUUUAGCUAGAUUUUAAAAAUUUGAUAUAGCAAGAAGUUUUGCAUUUAUUUUUUGGUUCCUAUUUUUUAGUAAUUCAGUUUCUCUGAUAUCUUUGUCAGUUAACUUUUCUUUCGUAGGAUACAUCACAUUAAAGUACUGCAUUCUUUCGUAUUUCUUGCCAGUGAACCUGUCAGUGGAGGCAGCAUUCCCACAGCCAUCAAUGCUCCCUCUGUGCAUACUUUGGGAUCUGGCUGUAGGACCAGACUCCCAGAUGGUCCCCAAGCUCCAAGGCUGCUCAGAAAAAUGUUUUCCCACCUCACUACCCUACUGCUUCCUACUAAAGCAAAGGACAACUUCUGUCAUUUUCAGUGAAGUAGAAUAUUUUACCCAGUAACUGUGAAUCAAAGUUUUUAGGUUGCGCAUUGUAUACUUUUGCUUUCAGUAUUUUGAUAUAUAUUUUGUUUUGGUGUGGUUUUAAGACAGUUUCGAAGGGAUUGAUACUGAAACACAGGCCUCACUUGACACAAGCAUCUUAGCAUAGGUAUGAAUUCACGAAACCUUAAAGGUGUGACUGCUGCGUUUAACUGUAAUCACUUUUGCAAGCAGGGCCUAGCGCUGGUGGGCGAAGGUGAUAAGAAGGGAGAGGCAUGUUAACUGUUGUGAGAGUCUAGAAGAAUGCAAAGUCAUAAGUUCUGCUUUAAUAGAUAAAAAAAAUAGAAGAACAUAAUCUAUAAAGCACAGUUAUCGCAAAGCAUUGUACCAGUUAGAUAAACGUGAUGAAUUUGAUAGCAACUAUCUACUACGUUUGUAACCCUAGGAUAAUGAAACCACAAGUUACAUAAGAUCCCAGCCCUUAAAACUGUACCUUUUAGAUAAGCUAACAAGGGCGGAUCCCCGAACUGUGGAAGUAUAAAAGUCCAUGUAAAAUGAACCACAGUCAGACAUGCUUGUGGAGGUGCUGAGCCCUGCAUGGUCUCUUGGCGUCAAUAAUGGUGUGCUUUUCUUUACAGUAGCUGCUGUGGAGUAGAUUUCUGUGAAUCAAUGCAGUAAAAACUAUUUAAGAGAGAUACUAUUUAUCAUUUAACUAAAAUGAUUGAAUUUGAAAGUUACUUUGAACUGUUCUCUAAAC